GCCUUCGUGGUGUAAUGGUCAGCAAACUCGGCGCCUAUUCGAGAUUCCAAGGUUCGAGUCCCUGCGAGGGCA
rnacentral:tRNA from 1 species